CUCUGCCCUGAGAGGAGCGGAAGGCAGCAUGUUGGGAAAUCAGAGACUUUAUAGAUGGUUGUAUCUCCAAAAAGUUGUAAAUUGCUGCAUAAUAUUCUAUGAGAGCCUCUUGUACUGCAAGGAGAUCCAAACAGUCCAUCCUAAAGGAGAUCAGUCAUGGAUGUUCAUUGGAAGGACUGAUGUUGAAGCUGAAACUCCAAUACUUUGGCCACCUGAUGUGAAGAGCUGACUCAUUUGAAAAGACCCUGAUGCUGGGAAAGAUUGAGGCAGGAGGAGAAGGGGACGACAGAAGAUGAGAUGGUUGGAUGGCAUCACCGACUCAAUGGACAUGGGUUUGGGUAGACUCUGGCAGUUGGUGAUGGACAGGGAGGCCUGGCCUGCUGUGGUUCAUGGAGUUACAAAGAGUCAGACACGACUGAGUGACGGAACUGAAUUGAACUGAUUCUAUGUUUCGUGCUUACCAUUCUUACCUACUUUCCCAGUAUGGACACUCAGAUUGCUUCCAAUUUCCCAUUGCCAUGAAUAAUGCUGCAAUCACCAUUAUAUAAUAGAAAAUGUGUUUGGGAUUUAUACCCAGGAGGGGAUUUUCUGGGUUAUGUGUUCUUUGUUGUUUAGUUGCUAAGUCAUGUCUGACUCUUUUUGACCCCAUGGACUGCAGCUUUCCAAUAUGACCCAUCC
ensembl:lncRNA